UGUGAGGCGAUUUGGGGCUUUAGUGCUGGGAGCUCCUGAAAGGAAAUCGCACAAUAUAUCUCAGGCACAAGACAUGUUCAAUCCUAAACCUUUGCGAUGGGGCACAUUAAACAAAAACUAGCGAAAGCGAAUUCUUCUCCAAAAUGCUAACAACUCAACGAUGACCCUCAUGAUCUGAAUAUUUUAUGAAUAAAGUAUAUUUUUCCCAAAAAAAAAGAGCCUCUGGUGGCAGAGCCGAUUACUGGUGCGCAGGUGCGACGAUGUUGAGUGUACAGGGAAAUUAAUUCCUGGAAGUUCCAGGACAAUCCUGGAGGGAUAACAAACCUAGCUAAAAUUCAAGGUUUCUGAAUUUACGGGACAAAUCCACUCUCAUCAUAUUUGGGCAUCUCAAGGUUUCUCGGAAAGCAUGUUGCAAGAAAAGAUUAGCAUUCAAGCAGAGCCAUUGGUGUGACAGUAGGAAAUAAGGCAAUCUUUUGAUAGUGUGGAAUUGAUAAACACUUUUUUAGUGCUGAAUACUUAUGACAAUAAAAUAAAGUCCAAGGAAGGUAACUUGACAAGCCUCUUUUGAUACCACCUUCCAAACCCAGAACCUCUACCAGCUAGAAGGACAAAGGCACUAGACCACCACCUGCAGGUUCCCCUCCAAGUUACACACCAUCCUGAAUUGGAAAGGUAUAACGAUUCUUUCACUGUCACUUAGAGUGCCAACUGGGUUUAAAUGCACUCCUGGAGGUUUCAUCACAUGACUUGAUGUCACACUCGAUCAAAUGCUGCCUUGAUGUCAAGGGCAGUCACUCUUACCUCACCUCUGGAGUUCAGCUCUUUUGUCCAUGUU